rnacentral:rRNA from 1 species
UACGUAGGGUGCAAGCGUUGUCCGGAAUUAUUGGGCGUAAAGAGCUCGUAGGCGGUCUGUCGCGUCGGCUGUGAAAACUCGGGGCUCAACUCCGAGCUUGCAGUCGAUACGGGCAGGCUAGAGUUCGGCAGGGGAGACUGGAAUUCCUGGUGUAGCGGUGAAAUGCGCAGAUAUCAGGAGGAACACCGGUGGCGAAGGCGGGUCUCUGGGCCGAUACUGACGCUGAGGAGGGAAAGCGUGGGGAGCGAACAGG